rnacentral:rRNA from 1 species
UACGAAGGGGGCUAGCGUUACUCGGAUUGACUGGGCGUAAAGGGCGCGUAGGCGGCUUGUACAGUCAGACGUGAAAUUCCUGGGCUCAACCUGGGGGCUGCGUUUGAUACGUGCGGGCUUGAGUUCGGAAGAGGGUCGUGGAAUUCCCAGUGUAGAGGUGAAAUUCGUAGAUAUUGGGAAGAACACCGGUGGCGAAGGCGGCUCUCUGGACCUGUCCUGACGCUCAGGCGCGAAAGCUAGGGGAGCGAACAGG